AGCCCCAGACGGGCUCUGCCAUCAACCUGCAGCUCCUCCUGAGCUGCGGCUCUUCCCGCUCUGCCCCCAACACAAGGAGAGCCCCGACUUGGGAGGAGGGCUUUUCAGAUCGCAGCUUGGCCUGAGGCAGAGCCAGAGCGAUGAGGUCACCCAGCACAGCUGCUAACUAUUUCAAGGAAACAGGUGGUGGCUCUGGCCUUUUCAUGGGCUUGGAGUUUUCUGGGAGAGGCCUCUUCAAGGGCGUCCUUGAAGCCCAGCCAUGGAUGUCCCUGUGGUUGGGAAAGGGGAGCUCAGGGUAAUGGAGUAUCCUCAAGAACCUGCAGAUAUUACCUCCCUCCAGAACCGUGGUCUCAGCCCUGGCUGCAUAUUCCUUCAACGGGAGGGCUUUAGAAAUGCUGUGCCAGAGCUGCACCCCAGACCAACAAAAUCAGACUCUCCAGGAUGCGGCCAAGGCAUCAGUAUGUGGAAAGCUUUCAGGAAAACUGAGCAAAAUGAAAGCCAAUUCAAAGAAGAAGGAAUUAAGUACAUAAUUGUGCAGAUGAUACAUGGAAAUGGAAUAAGUCUGGAGGGCAGCAAGAGUGACUGUCCAGCUAAGAACCUCAUCAGCAAUACAAAACAUUGUCACAGAUGUUGAAACAGACCCUGAGGUUAAUGCAUUCUUUCCAACAUUAGGUCCUAAAACUUCUCCUGAAAAGCUACCUUAAAUCUAACUUUUGAAAGUGCACAAUAAAGGUGAAUUAAAUAAAAGCAA
ensembl:lncRNA LINC02308 long intergenic non-protein coding RNA 2308